rnacentral:rRNA from 1 species
AGAGUUUGAUCAUGGCUCAGGACGAACGCUGGCGGCGUGCUUAACACAUGCAAGUCGAACGAGACCCUUUCUUCGGAGAGGUGUUCUAGUGGCGAACGGGUGAGUAACACGUGGGCAACCUGCCCUCAGCUCUGGGAUAACUCCAAGAAAUUGGGGCUAAUACCGGAUAUGACUGCUGACCGCAUGGUCUGGUGGUGGAAAGAUUUAUCGGCUGGGGAUGGGCCCGCGGCCUAUCAGCUUGUUGGUGGGGUAGUGGCCUACCAAGGCGACGACGGGUAGCCGGCCUGAGAGGGUGACCGGCCACACUGGGACUGAGACACGGCCCAGACUCCUACGGGAGGCAGCAGUGGGGAAUAUUGCGCAAUGGGCGAAAGCCUGACGGAGCAACGCCGCGUGCAGGAGGAAGGCCUUCGGGUUGUAAACUGCUUUUAACGGGGACGAUUAUGACGGUACCCGUAGAAUAAGGAUUGGCUAAUUCCGUGCCAGCCGCCGCGGUAAUAC